GAUUUUCCGGCCUUUUCGGGGGGACGGCGCGGGCAGCGUGUGUGGCCGGACGGGGCACCCGUCCCGCGGGGCUACGGGAUCAGCCGCCCCACCGCAGCCCCACUUUGUUUCCCAGCUCCACGGGGCGCGGAGAGAGACGCGGGGGGCGCGGAUCCAUCUCCUGCGGGCUCAGGAUGCCAGACCGCCCCGCUGGGAGAGGGCGGAGGGAAAACAUCAAAAAACGGAAAGAGUUUGGAGUUUUGUUAAGAAACACACGAAACAAAACGCUGAGUUCAAAAAAUUAAAUAAAACCCAAGAACUUGCACCAAAACCCCAGAAGGACCCCCCCCGCGUGUGACUCCGGGAGAUCCUGCUCUGUCCUGCACCGCUGCCCGACGCGGUCCCGACUCCCCGUAAGGGCGAGCCCCCUCCCUCCCCGCAGCAUUCGGUACAGUAGAUUUUGAGAAAAAGACAAACGAAGCUAUCAGCGGGGAUGAUGUUGAAGAAUGAAGAUAAUAAUGCUGCUAUAGGUGGUACUUCACAUGACAUUAUUUUUCACUGAAUAUUUAAAGAGAUGUUUCGGCAGAGAUGGAUACACUCAGCGCAGGCUGUCACCCUCCUUACCCUGAGACAGUGGGAAAGAAACCGAACCUGAACGCACAGAAGCGCACACGUUACUCACUGCUAGCCACACGUAGAUGCACACAAAAUACCCACGCGGAUCUAUUGCAUAUUUGUGUCUGUAUUUCUAACUAUAUCAAUCACUCCAUUAGCUUCCUACGGUUUCUAAGCCAGACGCUCUCCCAAAAUUAUUCGCGUUUACAAUUUCAUUAUACUUCUGCCGAUUAAGCUUGAGAUAAAUUUCCCCAGAUGCGCAGUACCUUUAC